CACAUGAUAUACUUCUAAAUUGGGUUUGGGUGAUAAUUAUCUUUUUUGUUGGAGAUGAAAAUUUAUUAUAUAAGGUGAAAUUUUAUAAUUGGUUUAACUUGUUUUGUGAAUGAGACAUUAUUAAAUUUUUUAGGUAAACUA
rnacentral:rRNA from 1 species